CUAAUACCGGAUGCUUGUUUGAACCGCAUGGUUCAGACAUAAAAGGUGGCUUCGGCUACCACUUACAGAUGGACCCGCGGCGCAUUAGCUAGUUGGUGAGGUAACGGCUCACCAAGGCGACGAUGCGUAGCCGACCUGAGAGGGUGAUCGGCCACACUGGGACUGAGACACGGCCCAGACUCCUACGGGAGGCAGCAGUAGGGAAUCUUCCGCAAUGGACGAAAGUCUGACGGAGCAACGCCGCGUGAGUGAUGAAGGUUUUCGGAUCGUAAAGCUCUGUUGUUAGGGAAGAACAAGUGCCGUUCAAAUAGGGCGGCACCUUGACGGUACCUAACCAGAAAGCCACGGCUAACUACGUGCCAGCAGCCGCGGUAAUACGUAGGUGGCAAGCGUUGUCCGGAAUUAUUGGGCGUAAAGGGCUCGCAGGCGGUUUCUUAAGUCUGAUGUGAAAGCCCCCGGCUCAACCGGGGAGGGUCAUUGGAAACUGGGGAACUUGAGUGCAGAAGAGGAGAGUGGAAUUCCACGUGUAGCGGUGAAAUGCGUAGAGAUGUGGAGGAACACCAGUGGCGAAGGCGACUCUCUGGUCUGUAACUGACGCUGAGGAGCGAAAGCGUGGGGAGCGAACAGGAUUAGAUACCCUGGUAGUCCACGCCGUAAACGAUGAGUGCUAAGUGUUAGGGGGUUUCCGCCCCUUAGUGCUGCAGCUAACGCAUUAAGCACUCCGCCUGGGGAGUACGGUCGCAAGACUGAAACUCAAAGGAAUUGACGGGGGCCCGCACAAGCGGUGGAGCAUGUGGUUUAAUUCGAAGCAACGCGAAGAACCUUACCAGGUCUUGACAUCCUCUGACAAUCCUAGAGAUAGGACGUCCCCUUCGGGGGCAGAGUGACAGGUGGUGCAUGGUUGUCGUCAGCUCGUGUCGUGAGAUGUUGGGUUAAGUCCCGCAACGAGCGCAACCCUUGAUCUUAGUUGCCAGCAUUCAGUUGGGCACUCUAAGGUGACUGCCGGUGACAAACCGGAGGAAGGUGGGGAUGACGUCAAAUCAUCAUGCCCCUUAUGACCUGGGCUACACACGUGCUACAAUGGGCAGAACAAAGGGCAGCGAAACCGCGAGGUUAAGCC
rnacentral:rRNA from 1 species